AGCGUAGGCGGAACUACAAGACAGGGGUCAAAUCUCCGGGCUCAACCUGGAACUUGCCUUUGUGACUGUGGUUCUUGAGUAUGGUAGAGGUUGGCGGAAUUUCCGGUGUAGCGGUGGAAUGCGUAGAGAUCGGAAAGAACACCAGAGGCGAAGGCGGCCAACUGGACCAAUACUGACGCUGAGGCUCGAAAGCGUGGGGAGCAAACAGGAUUAGAUACCCUGGUAGUCCACGCUGUAAACGAUGAACACUAGAUGUCGGGAGGGGUUCCUUCCGGUGUCGUCGCUACGCAGUAAGUGUUCCGCCUGGGGAGUACGCUCGCAAGGGUGAA
rnacentral:rRNA from 1 species